UGCUUUCAAAACUGAUGCACUUAUCACGCUACUUCUAAUCGCUAAUAUCUGCUGUCUCCCUAAUACCAGAAAGGACAAUCUAUUUUUGAAGAACUUUGAUCAGGUGGAAAAAGAGGAAAUUUUCGAAAAUGCGUUCGCUUCACAUGGACAAGAGAUGAGAUUUGUCAAUAAACGUGGAUGGUUGCCACGAUGAAAGCUUGCCACGGCCCUAUUUAAGGUCCACCACUGUUAUUGGCAGUGAGGAUAUUGUUAUUCAGAGGGAUCUUGAGGGAUGUCACUAUGAUUGUGCUCGUCGGUAUCGUUUCUUAUGGAAGGCCAGUCGGAAGCCAACAUGCAGUGGGCGCGAAUACCUCCACUGUCACUUAUUUGGUCAGCGAGCGACCUUUCAGGGAUCCUCCGUGGCAAUCGGCAUUGUAUCCAUCAAGCGAGAUACCAACAUCGCUCUGGAAUCGCAUAUCACUGUGUUAAAAAACAACAUUAGGUAUGAGGUCGGGAUAGCUCAGUGGUCCAGAGCAAUUGUCCGGAAAACGAAAGACUUGGGUUCGAUUUUCGAUUCAGCCACUUGCAUCUCACAUAUUUUUCUAGUCCACAAAUAUUGUUUUCUAGUAAUUAUUCGUUGGGCUGACAAAUGCUCUUGUGUGAAUGCUCUCUUCACAGGAUAUGCGUCGAUGCUGUUGCCACGGAUGGAUUCUGGCGCUCGUUGGCCAAAUGGAUAUAUAGAUAUGUUUAACCUCCUCGCACAUCCCUAUCUUUUCUAUGUAACAUAUCAAUGCGGUCAAAAUGGUAAACGAUAUAUUUGGUUUUGCCUCUCUUCCCUAAAAAUAAUUUCGAAUAGUAAUUAAAUAACGUGAAAAAAAAUAAUUCAUGCAUUUACACGUAUCUCCGAGCAAUAAAGAUAACUCGAGAAACUGAUAGGUAUUAUAACUGAUUAUAAUUGAUUAUAACUGAUAGGUAUUAUAACUGGUUAUAUAACUGAUAGGAAAGAUUUUAAGAUGGCAAACCGGUUAACGUUCACCGGAUAUGUAUAUUUAUAAACUAAGACAAUGACCUAUAUCAUUUUAUAAUUAAUUUAACGUUUUUUCGCUAUUUUGCAAUAGUUAUAUUCAAAUUAGUGCCAAAUAAAAAACACAUCAUCGUUUUUUUAAUUAUAUAAUUAAAGUUUUUUAAUUAUAUAAUUAACCUUAGCAAAUAUUAUAGUACAAUUAACAAAUAUUUAUUAAACAACAAGAUAAGAAAAUUGGCGUAUCCGAGCCAUAGAGACGUUCGUCCCGAUAUUUUUCUCGUCUACGUCUCUUCAGGGGAAUAAAGAGGGUUUUUAUAGAAUUUCUCAAAAAUGAGAAUCUAUAUAUCUUGGUAAAUGCACCAAAUAAAAUAUAUGCAUAUGCCUUGCUCUCGUUUACAUUUUCGCGUACAAUUAAAGUAUUUUUAGGCAUUACCAUCCGCUAUGGCUCGGAUACGCCAGUUUCGACGAUUCUCUUUUUGAACAAUAUUUUAUUUGGCGUCGUAAUCAUUUUGACAUUUCUCACGAAAGGAGAUUGCGAGUAAUAUUUUCUACCGUAAAUUUGAGGAGAACACGAGAAAAAUUCACAGUUGAGUUAACAAGGGAGACGAAAUCGGAAUCGUACUUGAAAGGCCACUUAUUGACGCUUACUUUCUACAAGAAUAUUUAUAAUGAAGCGCACGGAAGUUCUCGUUUUCACUGCGACCUUAGUGGAUCUUGUCUCUGUCGUUAAAAGCGCGCUUUACUAGGUUUACAUCUUUCUUUGUACCGAAAAUGAAAUGCUACUUUAUAGUCUCACUAAAUUACCUUUCCUGUAGCAGUUGCUGAAAUUUUAAUUAAUUCACUUAACGAUGAAAUUUCACGGUUUAACUAGUACAAUUUAAGCAUCUAGUUGUAGUUAAUUUCUGUUAAAUGGUAGUUAAUGUGCAUCAUAAUAUAAAUAUUAUCUGAUAUUAUUCUUUUAAUCUUAUUUUUUCUUAAUUGAACUUAAUGAGUAGUAUAGUAGUGUGGUAGUAAAGUAAAUAUUCCGUGUUAAUGUAUGUUAAUUUACUCUCAAAAAUAAAAAUACUUUCAAUGAAACCAUGCGAUGAAAUUGGGUCACAACAUUUCAGUGU